GGAGGGUGCAAGCGUUAUCCGGAUUCACUGGGUUUAAAGGGUGCGUAGGAGGGCAGGUAAGUCAGUGGUGAAAUCUCCGAGCUUAACUUGGAAACUGCCGUUGAUACUAUCUGCCUUGAAUAUUGUGGAGGUGAGCGGAAUAUGUCAUGUAGCGGUGAAAUGCUUAGAUAUGACAUAGAACACCAAUUGCGAAGGCAGCUCGCUACACAUAUAUUGACUCUGAGGCACGAAAGCGUGGGGAUCAAACAGGAUUAGAUACCCUGGUAGUCCACGCCCUAAACGAUGGAUACUCGACAUACGCGAUACACUGUGUGUGUCUGAGCGAAAGCAUUAAGUAUCCCACCUGGGAAGUACGACCGCAAGGUUG
rnacentral:rRNA from 1 species